GCCCGGUUAGCUCAAUCGGUAGAGCGUGGGACUUUUACAGACCUAUAAGGAUGUAAUCCCAAGGUUGCGGGUUCGAGCCCCGCAUCGGGCU